UGGAAUUGAAGAGUAAGAAUGGUUCUUUCAUGCAUGUACAUGUUAAAUUUAAUGUUCUUUGAUAUUCAAAGAAACAUUUGGUUUAACAUGUAGUGUCUCAUCAAAUAUGGAUGUGGCAAGAUUUGCUUCAACUAAAAUAUGCAAUAUCGAAAACAUAGUUUUCCUUCUGGAAUUUCGAGACACAGGAUUGUUAUUGUGCUUUUCAAAAAAGUGCCGAGAGAUUGCGAGUAAGUAGUUGAAGUAAAGUCAUCAUACUGAAGAGAAAAACCAUAGAUAUGUUUUAUUAAAACAUCCAAUUAGUCGUCAAAUCAUCAGUUAUUCAGCAUAUGUUGAAAAGUAGGCAUAGAGUCGGGCGAAGCAACGAAAAUUCGUAAGGAUGUGAAAAUAAAUUUUAAUUAUAUUUUCCCAAGAAAUAUGUAAUUUUCUCUUUCUGCUUUCGUCUUUUUUUUUUUAUUUCAGCUAUAUGCUACUAAACAAUUUUUGUAACGAAAAGACUUCGCUUCGGUAACUUUACACUUUAUUGCUAAUGUGCAUUUGCUCA